UACGAAGGGGGCUAGCGUUGCUCGGAAUCACUGGGCGUAAAGCGCACGUAGGCGGAUCUUUAAGUCAGGGGUGAAAUCCUGGAGCUCAACUCCAGAACUGCCUUUGAUACUGGGGAUCUCGAGUCCGGAAGAGGUGAGUGGAACUCCGAGUGUAGAGGUGAAAUUCGUAGAUAUUCGCAAGAACACCAGUGGCGAAGGCGGCUUACUGGUCCGGUACUGACGCUGAGGUGCGAAAGCGUGGGGAGCAAACAGG
rnacentral:rRNA from 1 species